rnacentral:rRNA from 1 species
UACGUAGGGUCCGAGCGUUAAUCGGAAUUACUGGGCGUAAAGCGUGCGCAGGCGGUUUUGUAAGACCGAUGUGAAAUCCCCGGGCUUAACCUGGGAACUGCAUUGGUGACUGCAAGGCUUGAGUGUGUCAGAGGGAGGUGGAAUUCCGCGUGUAGCAGUGAAAUGCGUAGAUAUGCGGAGGAACACCGAUGGCGAAGGCAGCCUCCUGGGAUAACACUGACGCUCAUGCACGAAAGCGUGGGG